rnacentral:tRNA from 1 species
CAGAGUGUGGCUGAACUAGUUAAGCAUCUCACUUACACCGAGAAGAUACCCAUGCAAAUUGGAUCGCUCUGA